UACAGAGGUCCCGAGCGUUAGGCGGAAUCACUGGGCUUAAAGCGUGUGUAGGCGGACUUCUAAGUACCUUGUGAAAUCCCACGGCUUAACCGUGGAACUGCUUGGUAUACUGGUUGUCUUGGGCCAUCUAGGGGCUACUGGAACAAACGGUGGAGCGGUGAAAUGCGUAGAUAUCGUUUGGAACGCCAAUGGUGAAAACAAGUAGCUGGGGAUGUGCCGACGCUGAGACACGAAAGCCAGGGGAGCGAACGGG
rnacentral:rRNA from 1 species